ACUCCUGCGGGAGGCAGCAGUGGGGAAUUUUGGACAAUGGGGGCAACCCUGAUCCAGCAAUGCCGCGUGAGUGAAGAAGGCCUUCGGGUUGUAAAGCUCUUUUGUCAGGGAAGAAACGGUGGUGGCGAAUAACUACUACUAAUGACGGUACCUGAAGAAUAAGCACCGGCUAACUACGUGCCAGCAGCCGCGGUAAUACGUAGGGUGCAAGCGUUAAUCGGAAUUACUGGGCGUAAAGCGUGCGCAGGCGGUUGUGUAAGUCAGAUGUGAAAUCCCCGGGCUCAACCUGGGAAUUGCAUUUGAGACUGCACGGCUAGAGUGUGUCAGAGGGGGGUAGAAUUCCACGUGUAGCAGUGAAAUGCGUAGAUAUGUGGAGGAAUACCGAUGGCGAAGGCAGCCCCCUGGGAUAACACUGACGCUCAUGCACGAAAGCGUGGGGAGCAAACAGGAUUAGAAACCCUUGUAGUCCCAUG
rnacentral:rRNA from 1 species